rnacentral:sRNA from 2 species
GCAAUGGCUGACUAGGGUUCCGGCUCGCAUCUGCGAGUGGCUGGUCCGAGAGUUGGCGACCUCCAGUUGAGGUUACACGGCGGGACAAAAGCCCGGGAGAC